UUACUUAAUAACUGAAUACAACUAAUUAUCACGCAUUUUCCAAACUAUAAAUGUCUAAUACUGAAUAUUGCGAGGGAAAUAACAAACCAACAAACAACCGUGAAUAUUGCGCCUUUCCGAUAACCUUUAUGCUUAAUGUAGAGAG
rnacentral:sRNA from 1 species